GGUCGCUUCAUCCUGCAUCUUCUCCUCUCACUGGGGAGGGACACCAGGGCAGGGGAGGUGCACGCGUCACCCCAAGGAGAGGCAGAUGACACACCAGGUCACACCCCACGAGGGGGGUCCUCGCAGAGCCAAGCACGUGCGUGUGUGCCCGUUGGCCUCGCUACAAAGCUGGGCAGUUGUGACAGAGGCCGUAGGGCCCACGAAGCCCGAGACAUCGCCUCUCUGUGGACGCUUUCAGGAAAACCGGGCACAGCUGUGAGGUUCCUGUGGCCUAGAGACGAGAGCCCAGUCACUGGGCGUGGAGGACUCCCCGCCUCCAGGCCUGUGCUGGACCCCAGGACCCCACAUCUUCCCACCCCAUCCUGAUCCACUGCCCAGCGGAGAAGGGAGCAUCCUGGACGCAGAGGAGGGAAAGCCCUCGAAGGACGCAGUCUUCCUGGGCGGCCAGGCGGGGUUUCUGCUCCACGAACCACAGGCCUGGAGCCAACCACAGGCCAGGGGACCUGAAAGCAUCUUCUUGGAGCUCAGCCACUGAGACAGGCACUGACCAGGCUGGGGGACAGGGCUGGAAGGGCAGGAAGGCUCAGAGACCGUAGCUCCCUCUGGUUACAGGUGCCUCUGUCCAUUGCACAAGUGGACACAAUCGACGCCUGGGGCUCACAGGACCCCCUCCUACGGCCCCUGCGGUGGGCAGAUCCUAGCUCGAGCCCGAGGCUCCCGCCAGCUCAAAUGGCCAGGAGGCACCAGGCUGGAAGGCACAGGCCCGGAAGUCCCUGCUCAUGUUCCAUCUUCUCACACGGAAACCAGAAGACCAAGGCUGCCCAGGCAGGAAAGCUGACACCAUGAGCUCUGCAGCCACACUGCAGGACCGCGGGCACCACUGCCGUUUCUCAAGCCUCUUCUUCAGGGGCUGCCCCACUUCGCUGGUCCUGCCCCACUUCGCUGGUCCUGCCCGUGCCUGGACCAUCCACACUGUCGCCCUUCAGCUUGGCCGGACCGGCCGGAACCGGUGCUGCUGCUGCUUGAGGUCCGGGAAACAAACACAAACCACAACACUGCAGGCUCAGAACCUCCUGAGGCCACAUCACUGGGGGAGAAGAGCCAGUCUGAGGGCCAGCAGCCUGUGCUGAGCGUUUUCAUUAUUGCCGAACAUAAAAAGCUAAAGGCAAGGAGACCAACGCAUUUCCCAAAGUGUCUGUAUUUUAAGCCGUGUUUUCUUUGUUAAAUGUGUAAAAACAUGGAGACGAGACAGGUGGAAUUCUGCAUUCAUGUGUCCGCGCAGAUGUGUGUGUGAGGUGGCACAGCCGUGUUCACGCGUGUGGCAACACUGGCAUUUACACAGGGGGAAACGCAGGCUGUGAUCAGCCCUCCCCCACCACACACACAGUGCAUCAAACCCAGAGGCCCCAGGA
rnacentral:lncRNA from 1 species